rnacentral:rRNA from 1 species
GACGAACGCUGGCGGCGUGCUUAACACAUGCAAGUCGAACGAUGAAGCCGGAGCUUGCUCCGGUGGAUUAGUGGCGAACGGGUGAGUAACACGUGAGCAAUCUGCCCUUGACUCUGGGAUAACUGCGGGAAACUGUAGCUAAUACCGGAUACGACACCUUGGGGCAUCCUAGGGUGUGGAAAGAAUUUCGGUCAAGGAUGAGCUCGCGGCCUAUCAGCUAGUCGGUGAGGUAAUGGCUCACCAAGGCGACGACGGGUAGCCGGCAUGAGAGGGUAACCGGCCACACUGGAACUGAGACACGAUCCAGACUCCUACGGGAGGCAGCAGUGAGGAAUAUUGCACAAUGGGCGAAAGCCUGAUGCAGCAACGCCGCGAGGGAUGAAGGCCUUCGGGUUGUAAACCUCUUUUAGCAGGGAAGAAGCGAAAGGAACGGUACCUGCAGAAAAAGCACCGGCUAACUACGUGCCAGCCGCCGCCGUAA